rnacentral:rRNA from 1 species
CAAGUCGAACGAUGAAGCUUUUAGCUUGCUAGAAGUGGAUUAGUGGCGCACGGGUGAGUAAGGUAUAGUUAAUCUGCCCUACACAAGAGGACAACAGUUGGAAACGACUGCUAAUACUCUAUACUCCUGCUUAACACAAGUUGAGUAGGGAAAGUUUUUCGGUGUAGGAUGAGACUAUAUAGUAUCAGCUAGUUGGUAAGGUAAUGGCUUACCAAGGCUAUGACGCUUAACUGGUCUGAGAGGAUGAUCAGUCACACUGGAACUGAGACACGGUCCAGACUCCUACGGGAGGCAGCAGUAGGGAAUAUUGCGCAAUGGGGGAAACCCUGACGCAGCAACGCCGCGUGGAGGAUGACACUUUUCGGAGCGUAAACUCCUUUUCUUAGGGAAGAAUUCUGACGGUACCUAAGGAAUAAGCACCGGCUAACUCCGUGCCAGCAGCCGCGGUAAUACGGAGGGUGCAAGCGUUACUCGGAAUCACUGGGCGUAAAGGGCGCGUAGGCGGAUUAUCAAGUCUCUUGUGAAAUCUAAUGGCUUAACCAUUAAACUGCUUGGGAAACUGAUAGUCUAGAGUGAGGGAGAGGCAGAUGGAAUUGGUGGUGUAGGGGUAAAAUCCGUAGAUAUCACCAAGAAUACCCAUUGCGAAGGCGAUCUGCUGGAACUCAACUGACGCUAAGGCGCGAAAGCGUGGGGAGCAAACAGGAUUAGAUACCCUGGUAGUCCACGCCCUAAACGAUGUACACUAGUUGUUGGGAUGCUAGUCAUCUCAGUAAUGCAGCUAACGCAUUAAGUGUACCGCCUGGGGAGUACGGUCGCAAGAUUAAAACUCAAAGGAAUAGACGGGGACCCGCACAAGCGGUGGAGCAUGUGGUUUAAUUCGAAGAUACGCGAAGAACCUUACCUGGGCUUGAUAUCCUAAGAACCUUAUAGAGAUAUGAGGGUGCUAGCUUGCUAGAACUUAGAGACAGGUGCUGCACGGCUGUCGUCAGCUCGUGUCGUGAGAUGUUGGGUUAAGUCCCGCAACGAGCGCAACCCACGUAUUUAGUUGCUAACGGUUCGGCCGAGCACUCUAAAUAGACUGCCUUCGUAAGGAGGAGGAAGGUGUGGACGACGUCAAGUCAUCAUGGCCCUUAUGCCCAGGGCGACACACGUGCUACAAUGGCAUAUACAAUGAGACGCAAUACCGCGAGGUGGAGCAAAUCUAUAAAAUAUGUCCCAGUUCGGAUUGUUCUCUGCAACUCGAGAGCAUGAAGCCGGAAUCGCUAGUAAUCGUAGAUCAGCCAUGCUACGGUGAAUACGUUCCCGGGUCUUGUACUCACCGCCCGUCACACCAUGGGAGUUGAUUUCACUCGAAGCCGGAAUACUAA